rnacentral:rRNA from 1 species
AUUGAACGCUGGCGGCAGGCCUAACACAUGCAAGUCGAGCGGAUGAAGGGAGCUUGCUCCUGGAUUCAGCGGCGGACGGGUGAGUAAUGCCUAGGAAUCUGCCUGGUAGUGGGGGAUAACGUCCGGAAACGGGCGCUAAUACCGCAUACGUCCUGAGGGAGAAAGUGGGGGAUCUUCGGACCUCACGCUAUCAGAUGAGCCUAGGUCGGAUUAGCUAGUUGGUGGGGUAAAGGCCUACCAAGGCGACGAUCCGUAACUGGUCUGAGAGGAUGAUCAGUCACAGUGAAUCAGACACGCUGCACAGUCCUCCGGGGGGGGCCAGUGGGGAAUAUUGGAGAAUAUGGGCGAGCGUCUUAUAGAGCCGCGGCGUGUGUGAAGAAGGUCUUCGGAUUGUAAAGCACUUUAAGUUGGGAGGAAGGGCAGUAAGUUAAUACCUUGCUGUUUUGACGUUACCAACAGAAUAAGCACCGGCUAACUUCGUG